UACGUAGGGUCCGAGCGUUGUCCGGAAUCAUUGGGCGUAAAGCGCAUGUAGGCGGUCCGGUAAGUCGGAUGUGAAAUCCCAGGGCUCAACCCUGGAACUGCAUCCGAUACUGCUGGACUUGAGGAAGGUAGAGGAGAGUGGAAUUCCCGGUGUAGCGGUGGAAUGCGCAGAUAUCGGGAGGAACACCAGCGGCGAAGGCGGCUCUCUGGGCCUCUCCUGACGCUGAGAUG
rnacentral:rRNA from 1 species